UUCUUCAUGACUUAUACGGCUUAAGUCCAUUAAUCGAUCAUCCUUAUCAUUCCUUAGCAUACAUGUUCUACCACUACCCACCUCUUUAACAAUGGAAGAAAAAGAGAUUCAUGGUUUAAGUUCUUACCCUUGAUAAUCACUUGACUAAGCUUUAAUCUUCUUCUUGCUUCUUGAAAUAUAAUAGAAUAGCUUUCUAGCUUUUCUAACUUAUUCUCACUUAUU
rnacentral:lncRNA from 1 species